rnacentral:rRNA from 1 species
UACGUAGGGGGCGAGCGUUGUCCGGAAUUAUUGGGCGUAAAGAGCGUGUAGGCGGUUCGGUAAGUCUGCCGUGAAAACCCAGGGCUCAACCCUGGGCGUGCGGUGGAUACUGCCGGGCUAGAGGGUGGUAGAGGCGAGUGGAAUUCCCGGUGUAGCGGUGAAAUGCGCAGAUAUCGGGAGGAACACCAGUAGCGAAGGCGGCUCACUGGCCCGAUACUGACGCUGAGGCACGAAGCGUGGGAGCAAACAGG